GCGGCGGGCGGCGCUGCGGUUGGACGGCGGCGCUGCCGCUCAGCGCGGGGUCAGGGGUCAGAGUGCGGGCGUUUCAGAUGCCUCUGGAUGUUCAAUGAUAGCACUUCUCCAUACUGGAGCAGCAAAGUUUUCCCAAAACUUACUUUCAAGGUCAAGACAAGCUGUGUCCCCCAUCUUCCCAGCUGGUGUUCUCAAAGGGUUCAGCUCCAUUGUAAGCAGGAAACUGGCGUCCCACGGCUUUGGAGCUUCCAUGGCAGCAAUGUCAUCCUUCCCUCCACAGAGAUAUCACUACUUCCUAGUGCUGGAUUUUGAGGCUACAUGUGAUAAACCACAGAUUCAUCCUCAGGAAAUCAUCGAAUUCCCUAUCCUGAAGCUGAAUGGCAGGACGAUGGAGAUCGAAUCCACCUUUCACAUGUAUGUUCAGCCUGUGGUGCAUCCCCAGCUUACGCCCUUCUGUACAGAGCUGACUGGGAUUAUUCAAGGCAUGGUGGAUGGGCAGCCGAGCCUCCAGCAAGUGCUUGAGAGGGUUGACGAGUGGAUGGCAAAGGAAGGCCUCUUAGAUCCCAGCGUCAAGUCGAUUUUUGUGACCUGUGGAGACUGGGAUUUGAAAGUGAUGUUACCAGGACAAUGCCAGUACUUAGGGCUGCCGGUUGCUGAUUACUUCAAACAGUGGAUUAAUCUGAAAAAGGUGUUCCUUGAAGUGGCCUUCACAGUUCUCCACCCUUUCAGCCGACGACUACGUCAGGGGAAGAUGGACUUGUGCCUCCCCGCAGCUUCAUUGCAUAUGCACACGCUGUCUGCCCCGGCGGCACGAUUGCCUUGGUGAAGAAUCCAAGGGGCUGCUGAUAGCAAUCAUUGAUUAAGAGGGGGAGACUGAGACGUGGCGAGCAGAAAGCAGGGAGAAUUGGAUGUGCAAGCAGGCAUUAAAUCCAUGCAGCAUCCUUGUGGGCUGUCUGCACAGGAGGGUCACUCAGCCACAGGAGUCAGAACGACCAGUUACUGGGAGCCUCUGCCUGAGCUGCUGUUCAGUUUUUCUCCCCAUCUCAAAAAUUAAAGCACUUGAGUUACACUCACUGAUUUCACUGAUGCUACCUUCACAAAUCCAUGGUGCUCUGCUGCAUUUCACCCCUCUCAGAAUGAACAUUUUGUAUGUAGACCCUACACAAAUGUGGCUGUUGCCAAGGUAAACACCAUUUUUCUGCUAGAUCUGGUUUGGAAUAUUCUCAGAAGGGAGCAAAUUUUUCUCCAGACAUCAUCAUUUAGGAAAGUAGCACCACACAGGGAUACUGAUGCCACUGCUCAAGUGUCUCACACCAAAACCAGCAUUAAACAACAGAAGCUGGAAUCAAGCUGUGGAAGGGAAUAGUUAAUUCAUAGCUUCAUCUGGUGUCAUUAUGGCAUGGUGGAGCCCAGCACCUGCAGCUGAGUUUCUGCCUCAGUCUUUUGUCUAUUUGGAUCCAACUUUUUCUUGACAUGGCUGAGCUGCUGGGAGGAUUGCAGUGCAGACAGGGUGAAGGAGAGGUUUGGGCAGCCUCAUGGUUAAGGUUCCAAACGCCCAGCAGCAUCCUUCGCUUGGCAGGUGUAAAGGAACCUUAUUAACAGGCAGUACUAAUUGCAUUUAAAAUAGCACCAUAUUUGGACCUGUGCCAAAUAUGCCAGGCUAACUUGGUGCAAAGUUUUGCCCUUCAUCUUAACAAAAGCUAUUUCUGAAGAGCUGCUUAGAACUGUGUGUGGCUAGCAGGGAGGUUUCUCAUCAGAUGUCAGUGCUUGGGAGGCAGAUACACUCGACAGGCAGAAGGACUUGACUUCUUCCCCUUCCAUGUACAAGCACUAUGUAUUAUUCAGGGUCUUCUUGAGUCAAUGCUGGUUUAUUAAUCGGUCGUUUCUCUGCAUGCUAAAUUUGCCUACUAAUUUCAAGGAAGAGGACUGUGGGUAUGAGAUUUCACAGUAUUUUCUUUCCCUCUGUGAGUCUCUGAACACCCGUGUAUGCAAUCUGUGGCUGCUGCACCCCCUUGCUUUGGGUUCAGAUGACAUAGUUCUGCCUGUCCAGCAGCUGCAUGGGAAGGCGAGGUCCAUGUUAUUGAUGUAAUGUUCCUGUAUCCAGAUAGUCACAGAUGGUGGGAGGAGCAGGGGCAGGGCUGGGGCAAUUAAAGCCUUGUUGAACCUUGAGGGACCAAGCAAGACCCCCACACACCACCUUCUAAGGACUAGCAGUGCUACAGUCUCAGGUGUUGCUCUGGUGUGGUGUCCUGGUGUGGGGCAGGCAUUGUACACAGGCCAGGAGGGGUUUGAUCCAUGACAUAGAUGCUGUCCACUUCCCCUUGGCUCCUGCUCUGAUUGCAGACUGAUGUAAUGAGUUAUUUGCAGCUGGUUUGUCUCUUGCAACAGUCUCUUGUCUUGGGACUCUCUCUCCCCUGUACCCCAGCCAGACUUUAUGCUCUGGUCUCCUCUCCCUCCACAAGCUCUGGCGGUGCUGCCUGUGGUAGGCAAGGCACGUGGGCCAGUAGUGCCUGCACGUUCCAGGAAUCACGUCAGCUGUCAUUACUUACAUUACCUUGAUUGGGAACAGUCAGUUAUGUCACCGUUCAUCAUCGCGUCUCUCCCAGGAGACGCUGAGGAAGGAGGAGAGGAGCAGGAAUUAUAAAGCGCUUCUGCGGUGCUCUGCCAAUCCCACUGCUCCGUUGGCUGAACAUCUGUCAUCAGGCAGCUUGAAGAGAAGGUGCUUUGUCUGAUGGAUCUUCACAUUGUAGCUCCACAGGGAGGAGCCUUCUGCAACACCAGGAGAGCCCCAUGGGAAGAGCACUGGGGACUCUUACAGAGUUUAACAUGAAGGGAAUAAUGCUGUUGCCUGGGAAGCUCUGUGGGAUACUGCAGAGGGCCACAGGAUGGGUUCUCCUGGCUGAGGACUGCUUUGAGGCAGGUAGAAUUACCAAAACUGUCUCCAGUCCAAAUGAGUUAGAGCUUGGACUUGGAUGUUGUCCCCAAGUGUGACUGUGGAGGAUUUUUGCUCAUGUCUCAGGUGGCAUUUAAUCCUCCCUUUGGCCAGGAGCUCCAAAUUCCCUGAAUGAUGAUGAGGUCUGGGUUUUGCUGAAGGAAAGUUCUUAUUUCUAAUGGAGAAUUAUCUGGAAAGUUUCCAGUCCUCUGGCCCAGUUGAUUUGGGAAUUUGACUCCAGUUCCAGCAACGAGUCUCUUUGACUCUGGUCCUCCCAGGCAGGCUGGAAGACAACACUGGAAAUGGCAGAAGCUAUGUCCAUCUCUGGUGGCAGAGCCCACGAUGCCAUGUGUGGUGAGGAAGACAGUUUGUCUGUCCAGCAGUCUCCUGUGAAUGAAUUCGUAACUGAUCUCAGGGUGGGUUUGAGAGGGUAAGAAGAAUAGGAACUCUGUGGCUGUAGCCAGGAGGUGCUCCAGGGCUGUAAGGCCAGGUUCCCCAAGGCUUGUGUGAGAAGGCUGAAAGCAGGAAGGGUUCAAGAAGCACAUGUAGCCCAGCAGGACACAGUGGGAGGGGGGGAUGGCAGUAGUGCCUGCUUCCUUGUGUUUCAUGCUAUGUGUGUUGGUCCUGGCACUGUGACGUGGGAGAAACACUAUCUGUCAAGCACAGUACUCACAUUUUAACUUCUGUUAACUGGGCAGAGAGCAAGGGUGGCUUGACAACAACUGGACCUGGCAGAGCCUCUCCAGAGUCAAGCCACUGAAGGGGAGGAAAGCCAGGACAGCAGAGGUCUGUACCCAGGGUCCAAAGUGGGGAAGGAAAAUAAGUUCUGUGGUUCUGUAUGUUUCUCCUUGGAGCAGCUCCAGAAGAUUGUUCAAAGGGGAGUGUUAAAACACACGGAGGAACUGGCUGUACCAGCAGUGACACAUGACUGCUGCACGGGGCGGGGGGGGAUGCAGGUAGGUCAUGGGUGGCUGAAGUAGCCUGGUCUCAGCCUAUGCAAGGCAUCUUGUGCAGGUACAGCCAGCAAGGUCUGACCUGUGAUCCAUCCUGUCAUUUAAAGAACUUGCACUGUACAGAAGUGAUGCUUUCUGUGUGCCAGGGGCAUCACUGCAGUUCCUCUUAGCUGAGUUUGAAGAGCUCUUGCUGUCCCCACCUUUAAGUGUAGGCAUUGUGCUGGAUGGCCCAGGUACAUGGUGUUUGCUAGGCAAAGAAGAGAUUGAAAAGGGUACAUGGAGCAGAGGAGAAUUGUUCUUGAGGAAAGGUGGGUUUCUAUGGUGGGUGGAUAGCUAGUGAAGUGAGUAAAUACUUGCUAUAAACAUGUUCAGAGCAUCUCUGUGUGAAGAACCCAGCACAGCUUUUCCAAGUGAAUAGAAAGAGAGCCUGGGUUCAGUUCAUAUGUCUGUUUUCAUUUCUUUUCUUCUUCUGGUCAACUGUGGCUGUAGAUAAGAGUUUUCUAUUUGAAGUUCAGAAGGGAAGGGAAACCCAUUGUUAGAAGAGGAGACAUUUUUUUUGCUUGAUAUCUAUCUCCAGCGACACAGCAGAGAAGGAAAAGAUUUGCUAUGAUAAAGGUAGGUUUAAGGAGAAGGAAAAAAAAAAAGGCACAUUGAGUGUUGCUUUUCUCUGUACUUCAAAGCCUGGAGUAAUAUGGAACAGUAUAAAAGAAGAGAGGAAAAAAAAACAACCUAGCCCACUCUCUGCACGGGGGCUGAGAGUGCCAUAAUAGAGCACCAUCCUGGCCAGAAAUCCAGAGCUCUGCCUAAGCUGUUCAUCUGGGCUUGGCAAGGUGGUGUUCAGUAUGCACAGCACCUGCCAGGAGUCCACAGGGAUGGGCUGCAGGGGGGAUGGAUGCUCCUUAUGGGGAAAGCAGAGGAAAUGUU